rnacentral:rRNA from 1 species
AUGUCGAACAGGUCCAUUUGCAAGUUCUUUGUGAAUGGUGCUUGCUUUAAAGGAGACUACUGCCAAUUCUCCCAUGACUGGAAUGAUCAACCAAAUGAUGUCUGCACAUUUUACCAGAACGGUGUGUGCUCUUAUGGCAGUCGUUGCAGAUAUGAACAUGUUGAAGUUUCUUCUGAAUACACCCCACCAUCAACUACUGCAGCACUUGCACCAUCCAACUCUUAUCUGUCUUGGUGUCCUCUUUGUGAGGGGGAAAUAGAUGUGAGCAACCAGACACACAAAAGUUUAUCGGUAUGCUCUGUGCAUCAGUCUACCUGGAGAUUUGAUGAUGAAGAUUGCAUUCCAGAGGAUGGGAACAGCUUGUCAUCAGCACUAACUGCACAAAACCAAGCGCUCCACCCACUUGCUCAUCUGCCCAUAUGCUCUUUUGCCGCAGCUGGAACUUGUCCCUAUGGGAAAGAGUGCCCUCAGAUGCAUGGGGAUCCAUGCACAUCCUGUGGAAAACAGUGCUUGCAUCCCUACCGGCCCAGCGAAGGUGGGGCUCAUAUCAAGCUCUGCAAGAGAAACAACAAACGUCUUGAGACCUUGAAAAAAAGUGAAGAGAUGGAAUGUAGUGUGUGUUUGGACCGUGUGCUUUCAAAGCCCACAGCAGCGGAAAAGAGGUUUGGGCUUCUACCUGAAUGUGACCAUGCCUUCUGUAUCACAUGCAUUAGGAAGUGGCGCAGCAGCUCUCUUACAUCUUCUAUGGAUAUCGACUCUACAGUCAAGGCUUGUCCAAUAUGCCGCAAAGUCUCGUACUAUGUCAUUCCUAGUGCUACAUGGUACUCCUCGAAGGAGGAAAAACAGGAUAUAAUUGACGGUUACAAGGCCAAGCUCAAGUCGAUUGAUUGUAGGUACUUUGACUUUGGAAGGGACACUUGCCCCUUUGGUGGUCGAUGUUUCUACAAGCAUGCCUACACCGAUGGGCGUUUGGAGGAGCCGGCAACGGUGGCAGUGCUUCAUUUUCAUGCCGACAAUGGUAGUAUGGAGCAUGCAAGAAAUAUUGGAUUGGCGUACUUGCUCAGCCGGUUACAUAGCAUCCAGAAGGAAGCUGUUGAGAAGAGAAGUACGUACUUACUUAGGGAGCCAUAA